AGCGAACGCUGGCGGCAGGCCUAACACAUGCAAGUCGAACGAACUCUUCGGAGUUAGUGGCGGACGGGUGAGUAACACGUGGGAGCGUGCCUUUAGGUUCGGAAUAACUCAGGGAAACUUGUGCUAAUACCGAAUGUGCCCUUCGGGGGAAAGAUUUAUCGCCUUUAGAGCGGCCCGCGUCUGAUUAGCUAGUUGGUGAGGUAAAGGCUAACCAAGGCGACGAGCAGUAGCGGGUCUGAGAGGAUGAUCAGCCACAUUGGGACUGAGACACGGCCCAAACUCCUACGGGAGGCAGCAGUGGGGAAUCUUGCGCAAUGGGCGAAAGCCUGACGCAGCCAUGCCGCGUGAAUGAUGAAGGUCUUAGGAUUGUAAAAUUCUUUCACCGGGGACGAUAAUGACGGUACCCGGAGAAGAAGCCCCGGCUAACUUCGUGCCAGCCGCCGCAGUAA
rnacentral:rRNA from 1 species